UUAUGGCCUUAUCGAAGCUGCAAUACUUUUUAUAAAGAAGUGCUGCAGUCAAAAUUGGCCAAAAAUAAUCUAUGAGCUCCUUACUUAUGGUCACAGGUUGAAUUAGAUUAAAUAUUCUUGCUGUAUUACCCAGAAGGAGUACAAAU